AGCAAAUAGAUACCCGGGUAGUCCACGCCCUAAACGAUGUCAACUAGUUGUCGGGUCUUAACGGACUUGGUAAACGCAGCUAAACGCGUGAAAGUUGACCGCCUGGGGAGUACGGUCGCAAGAUUAAAACUCAAAGGAAUUGACGGGGACCCGCACAAGCGGUGGAUUAUGUGGAUUAAUUCGAUGCAACGCGAAAAACCUUACCUACCCUUGACAUGUGCCGAAGCCCGCUGAGAGGUGGGUGUGCCCGAAAGGGAGCGGCAACACAGGUGCUGCAUGGCUGUCGUCAGCUCGUGUCGUGAGAUGUUGGGUUAAGUCCCGCAACGAGCGCAACCCUUGUCAUUAAUUGCCAUCAUUCAGUUGGGCACUUUAAUG
rnacentral:rRNA from 1 species